rnacentral:rRNA from 1 species
UACAGAGACCUCAAGCGUUAUCCGGAAUCAUUGGGCGUAAAGCGUACCGAUGGGUGGUUUAUAUAGUUUUGGGUAAAAGCCAGAAGCUCAACUUCUGCGUUUGCUCAAAAUACUUAUAGACUAGAGGGGCAAAGAGGUGCUUGGAACGAAUGGUGUAGUAGUGAAAUGCGUUGAUAUCAUUCGGAACACCGAAAGCGAAGGCAGAGCACUGGGUGCCACCUGACACUGCUAGGACGAGAGCGUGGGGAGCGAAUGGG